ACAAAGACCUGGGUGUAGAAGGCAGCGUCUGACGUGCUGCGAUUUGCAUAAGCGCCGAUAUAACAACUCCGGCGCGCAGCCAACUCUCCUCAGUCUAGAGUGAGCGCCGUUUAAGUUUGUGUUGGAGUGUAGACGGACGGAUAGUUGGGACAAUGGCUGAUGAGAAACCCAAGGAACUUGAGGAAGGCUUGCAGCAGGAGAUCACUUCAUUCACGAAGGAUAAACUUAAAGAAACACAGACCACAGUGAGAGUCUUCAUGCCAGACGCAGCCACAAUUGAAGCAGAAAAACAGGCGGAUAAAGAAGCGGCAAAAUGAAAGUGACCUUUCUUUCCUGAUUUUUUUGCACUGUACAUUCCACAAGCAUUGCCUUCUAGCUAUGUAUUUCCUUUUCAAAAAAAACUUUGGAUAUUGAGUGAACUGGUUGGCUCCUACUCCCAUCAAUCUCCCUCCUAUUCCCAUCUAUCCUUUUCUACCCCAAAAUCUACCUUCUCCCACUUGCCCCACCCCCCUUUUUUUUUUGAAAGAGGGCAGGGGCAGCAGGGGAAAUUAACUACUGACCGUAUGGCUGGCUUAGUACUUCUGAUGGCACUAAGAGCUUGCAUGUCUCGAGAGGUGCCUGGAAAAGACUGCAGGAACCUUUUAAUAACCAAAUGCAUGUGAAUGGAGUGAAGAUGUCAAGGACCUGUGUUCAGUUCAAUCGAAUCAACUAUGUAGAGUGCCAUUUUGUUAGGUCUCUUGGCAUGCACAGUAACUGAUUUUUGGUUUUUGUUUUGAUAUGCAAAUAAACAAACAUUUGAAAUUUACUCGAGUUUGUUUUUUUUCUUUUAAACACAUAGACUUGUGACUAGUCACUAAAUUCUAUUAGAAGAAACUGAAGGCCUGAUGUGAAGCUGUGUCUCUGACUUCAAAAUGCAAUGAUUGAUAUGUGCAGCACAUCUGACAGUAUUUGGAGAUAAAUAACUAAACAUAUUUGGGGUGGGGAAUGCUGCAGUAGUGUCCUGUUAUGGGUGAAUCAAUAGAUUGGUCACAAGUGAGUAUGCUUGGUCAUGUAUGAAAAUCCCCCAACUUGUUUGAAUGUGAUGUAGUAAUGUUGAAAGAAUCCAGUUAUUUUGCUCUCUAAAGCAACAGCAAAUUUAAAAACUAUUAAGCUCGCUAACAUUUUCUGAAUUGGAGCUGCUGAUGACAUUUUGAUUCAAAAUCCAUAUCCAACUAACUGAGCAGUAGUUAGCCCUUUUUGGCAGGGAGUUAUCUAGUCAAGCUAAUUUUGUGGGCCAUAAGUGCAAAGUACUAAAGUUUCAUGAUCUUGAUACUUGAACAAAUGGGUAUAGUGCCCAAAUCAAGGGAAAAAAUAAAAAAAAUUCAUCAGGUAAAGUGAUGGUAACAGCCAGAGUUGACAUUAUUUGACUUAAUCAAAGAAUUAUGCCUCUUGCUUUCAGAAGUACUUGCUUAAUAUGUAAAGUUUAACUCAACAUUACUUGAUUGCUGGAAUGUCCCUCUCCAAUUCUAUUCAAAGUAUUAUUCACUAAAUGGUGGCUUUCUUGCUCUCUAGGAUUUUAAUAUGACACUAACAGCAUCCCAAGUGAUUUAUUAUAACUUGCUGACUUGUAUCUGAUUUACUUGAACUUUAUGGAUGUAGCGCACUCAGCUAGUGAAUGCUUUGAUUAAAAGUUGCCUAUUAUUUGAACAGGAGUGUGAGCUAAAUAUGAUGGUUGGUAAUAUAAUUCAACUCCUCCAUGCCAUUUGUCAAUCUUUCAAGCUGAGUUUUGCAACAAAUUGUAAUCCUGCGCUCUAAGUUGUUAACUUGUCUUGGGGAAUCAGUAGUAUUUCCUUUUUAAAUGCAUUGCUUUAAACAAAUGUUGGAUACAUGAGCCUUUCUACCAGAGGAUAUGCAAGUAUGUGGGUCUGUUGCUCAAAUGUAGAGAUCUUAGUGUAGCAGUAAUGUUAAUGGUACCCUGCCUGUGGUUAUCUCCUACAACAGAUUUAGUUAUUGAUCUGAAAGUAUGAUUUUCUUUUCAAAUUCUGGCUAGGGGAAAAGGAACAGUAGUGGUGGAACCAUCAGAUGGAGACAAUAGGGGAGCCCACAGAAGUCUAUAGACCCAACAAGACCAAUCAACCACCAGCAUUGAGAUAUUUAUGCUUCUUUUGGGCAAGGAUGUCCUGA